rnacentral:rRNA from 1 species
CAGCAGUCGCCACGGGAAUACAGAGGGUGCGAGCGUUAAUCGGAUUUACUGGGCGUAAAGCGUGCGUAGGCGGCUUUUUAAGUCGGAUGUGAAAUCCCUGAGCUUAACUUAGGAAUUGCAUUCGAUACUGGGAAGCUAGAGUAUGGGAGAGGAUGGUAGAAUUCCAGGUGUAGCGGUGAAAUGCGUAGAGAUCUGGAGGAAUACCGAUGGCGAAGGCAGCCAUCUGGCCUAAUACUGACGCUGAGGUACGAAAGCAUGGGGAGCAAACAGGAUUAGAUACCCCUGUAGUCCCUGUCUCUUAUAC